AUUGCUUUGUAGUGAUCGGGAGUAAAAGGUCAGUUGUAUCGCUGGUCUCGAUCUGGUCAAGCUCCCGGUCCGGUGGCCAAACAGUCUCAAAUGAUGGGCAGAUUCAGUGAGGAAUGUCAUAAAUGAUAUCCGCCCAGUGCAUAUCAAGCGUAGGCUUAAACAGCUCAUUAAACAUUAAAGCUUUUUGCUCUUAAAAUGUUAAACUGUUCUUUUUGUAGAGAUGUGCGUAUGAGGAUUCAAAAACAGGUGCUUGCUCCACCUUAAUCUUCAGCGCAGGACUAGACUUGUGGAAGCACAAUGUAUGAGAAAGUCUUGUCUGCAAAACCAGAUGGAUCAUCAGUAUUAUUUAUUGAUGUGGGAGCCAGCUGCUCGCACCAGCUGCUGCUGGGGUACGUGCUGUACCGGCUGCAGCAGCAGGUGGCCGUGACGUUCGUGCCGAG